rnacentral:rRNA from 1 species
UCUCCUGGAAAACGGGUGGUAAUGCCGGAUGUUCCACAUGAUCGCAUGUGAUUGUGGGAAAGAUUCUAUCGGCGUGGGAUGGGGUCGCGUCCUAUCAGCUUGUUGGUGAGGUAACGGCUCACCAAGGCUUCGACGGGUAGCCGGCCUGAGAGGGCGACCGGCCACAUUGGGACUGAGAUACGGCCCAGACUCCUACGGGAGGCAGCAGUGGGGAAUAUUGCACAAUGGGCGCAAGCCUGAUGCAGCGACGCCGCGUGAGGGAUGGAGGCCUUCGGGUUGUAAACCUCUUUUGUUUGGGAGCAAGCCUUCGGGUGAGUGUACCUUUCGAAUAAGCGCCGGCUAACUACGUGCCAGCAGCCGCGGUAAUACGUAGGGCGCAAGCGUUAUCCGGAUUUAUUGGGCGUAAAGGGCUCGUAGGCGGCUCGUCGCGUCCGGUGUGAAAGUCCAUCGCUUAACGGUGGAUCUGCGCCGGGUACGGGCGGGCUGGAGUGCGGUAGGGGAGACUGGAAUUCCCGGUGUAACGGUGGAAUGUGUAGAUAUCGGAAGAACACC